rnacentral:rRNA from 1 species
AUCUGCCCUUCACUCUGGGACAAGCCCUGGAAACGGGGUCUAAUACCGGAUAACACUCCUGCCUGCAUGGGCGGGGGUUAAAAGCUCCGGCGGUGAAGGAUGAGCCCGCGGCCUAUCAGCUUGUUGGUGAGGUAACGGCUCACCAAGGCGACGACGGGUAGCCGGCCUGAGAGGGCGACCGGCCACACUGGGACUGAGACACGGCCCAGACUCCUACGGGAGGCAGCAGUGGGGAAUAUUGCACAAUGGGCGAAAGCCUGAUGCAGCGACGCCGCGUGAGGGAUGACKGCCUUCGGGUUGUAAACCUCUUUCAGCAGGGAAGAAGCGAAAGUGACGGUACCUGCAGAAGAAGCGCCGGCUAACUACGUGCCAGCAGCCGCGGUAAUACGUAGGGCGCAAGCGUUGUCCGGAAUUAUUGGGCGUAAAGAGCUCGUAGGCGGCUUGUCACGUCGGUUGUGAAAGCCCGGGGCUUAWCCCCGGGUCUGCAKUCGAUACGGGCAGGCUAGAGUUCGGUAGGGGAGAUCGGAAUUCCUGGUGUAGCGGUGAAAUGCGCAGAUAUCAGGAGGAACACCGGUGGCGAAGGCGGAUCUCUGGGCCGAUACUGACGCUGAGGAGCGAAGCGUGGGAGYGAACAGGAUUAGAUACCCUGGUAGUCCACGCCGUAACGGUGGGCACUAGGUGUGGGCAACAUUCCWCGUUGUCGGUGGCCG